rnacentral:rRNA from 1 species
CUACGGGUGGCUGCAGACGCGAAAACUCUACAAUGCACGAAAGUGUGAUAGGGGGAUCCCUCGUGCUGGCGUAAUACGUCAGCUUUUCUGGAGUGUAAGGUGCUUCAGGAAUAAGGGGUGGGCAAGACCGGUGCCAGCCGCCGCGGUAACACCGGCGCCUCGAGUGGUAGUCGCGAUUAUUGGGCCUAAAGCAUCCGUAGCCGGUUUAGUAAGUCUUCUGUGAAAUCUCAUGGCUUAACUGUGGGGCGGGCAGAAGAUACUGCUGAGCUUGAGACCGGGAGGAGCUAGAGGAAUGCCCUGGGGAGCGGUAAAAUGCUGUAAUCCGGGGUGGACCAUCAGUGGCGAAGGCGUCUAGCUAGAACGGGUCUGACGGUGAGGGAUGAAAGCUAGGGGAGCAAACCGGAUUAGAUACCCCCGUAGUC